rnacentral:rRNA from 1 species
GGUGAACGCUGGCGGCGGGCCUAAUACAUGCAAGUCGAGCGAACAGACGGUGAGCUUUCUCCCCUGACGUUAGCGGCUGGCGGGUGAGUAACACGUGGAUAACCUACUUAUAAUACUUGGAGGACUUCGGAAAACCGGAUCCAAUACCAGAUAAUAUGUCGAACGGCAUGGUGCAGUAGUGCAUGACACCUUGCCUGUCACAUUUAGAUGGAUCCGCGCCGCAUUGUCUAGUUGGUAAGGUAACGGCCUACCAAGGCAACGUUGCGUAGCCGAGCUGAGAGGGUGAUCGGCCAAAACGGAACUGAGACACGGUUCAGAAUCCUAAGGGAGGGAGGAGUAGGGAAUCUUCCGCCAUGGGCGAAAACUUGAAGGCGCCAAGCCGGGUGAGUGGUGAAGGUCUUCCGAUUGUAAAACCCUGUUAUUAGGGAAGAAAAAAUGUGUAAUUAACUACGCACGUUUUGGCGGUACCUAAUAAGAAAGGCACGGCUAAAUACGUG